rnacentral:rRNA from 1 species
UACGGAGGAUGCAAGCGUUAUCCGGAAUGAUUGGGCGUAAAGCGUCCGCAGGUGGCGAAGUAAGUCUGCUGUUAAAGCGUCUAGCUCAACUAGAUAAGAGCAGUGGAAACUACUUACGCUAGAGUGCGUUCGGGGCAGAGGGAAUUCCUGGUGUAGCGGUGAAAUGCGUAGAGAUCAGGAAGAACACCAGUGGCGAAGGCGCUCUGCUAGGCCGCAACUGACACUGAGGGACGAAAGCUAGGGGAGCGAAUGGG